UACGUAGGGCGCAAGCGUUGUCCGGAAUUAUUGGGCGUAAAGAGCUCGUAGGCGGUCUGUCGCGUCUGCCGUGAAAACCCGAGGCUUAACCUCGGGCUGGCGGUGGAUACGGGCAGACUAGAGGUAGGUAGGGGAGAAUGGAAUUCCCGGUGUAGCGGUGAAAUGCGCAGAUAUCGGGAGGAACACCGGUGGCGAAGGCGGGUCUCUGGGCCGAAAUUGACGCUGAGGAGCGAAAGCGUGGGGAGCAAACAGG
rnacentral:rRNA from 1 species